GUGGGGCUGCUAGGCGCGCCAGGUGCACUAUGCCCCGGGGUCGAUAGCCUCUGGUCCGGGGAGUUGCCGCUGAUACGAUCUUGGUCGCAUCACGCGACGCCCACCUUACUUUCGGACCCAGGAGCUUGUUACCACCAGCGGCCAUGUGGCUCCACC
rnacentral:other from 1 species